UACGGGGGGGGCAAGCGUUGUUCGGAAUUACUGGGCGUAAAGGGCUCGUAGGCGGCCAACUAAGUCGGACGUGAAAUCCCCAGGCUCAACCUGGGAACUGCGUCCGAUACUGGAUGGCUUGGAUUUGGGAGAGGGAUGCGGAAUUCCAGGUGUAGCGGUGAAAUGCGUAGAUAUCUGGAGGAACACCGGUGGCGAAGGCGGCAUCCUGGACCAAUAUUGACGCUGAGGAGCGAAAGCCAGGGGAGCAAACGGG
rnacentral:rRNA from 1 species